AAAUCCAUGUGGAUGGGGCGCCCAGCUGCCUCUGCCUUCCCAGCCAUCUCAGUUGAGGCCCACACCUGCGAGUGAACCCAGCUGAGAACACAGUAAACACAGCCCAAAUUACCAAGUCACAGAACAUUCUAGCAUUGGACAUGAAGAUAGCAGCCUUACCGAAGGGAAAGUCUACCAUUUUAUGAUGAGUCUUCAAAGGCAUCCAAACACAGGUACAGUAAAAUCACUUCUUACCCCUCCAGCCCCCAGCUAGCCACU